UACGUAGGGUGCGAGCGUUAAUCGGAAUUACUGGGCGUAAAGGGCUCGUAGGCGGCCAACUAAGUCGGAUGUGAAAUCCCCAGGCUUAACCUGGGAACUGCAUCCGAUACUGGAUGGCUUGAAUCCGGGAGAGGGAUGCAGAAUUCCAGGUGUAGCGGUGAAAUGCGUAGAUAUCUGGAGGAAUACCGGUGGCGAAGGCGGCAUCCUGGACCGGCAUUGACGCUGAGUGAGCGAAAGCCAGGGGAGCAAACGGG
rnacentral:rRNA from 1 species